ACGGAAGGCAGCAGCUAAGAAUAUUCCGCAAUGGACGAAAGUCUGACGGAGCGACGCCGCGUGGAUGAUGAAGGUCGAAAGAUUGUAAAAUCCUUUUAGGAGUGAAGAAUAAGCGGUGCAGGGAAUGGCAUCACGGUGACGGUAGCUCCUGAAUAAGCAACGGCUAAUUACGUGCCAGCAGCCGCGGUAACACGUAAGUUGCGAGCGUUGUUCGGAAUUAUUGGGCGUAAAGGGUAUGUAGGCGGUCGUGCAAGCUUGGUGUGAAAGGCAGGGGCUCAACCCCUGGACUGCAUUGAGAACUGCAUGACUUGAAUUGCUGAAGGGCAGCCGGAAUUCCAGGUGUAGGGGUGAAAUCUGUAGAUAUCUGGAAGAACACCAAUGGCGAAGGCAGGUUGCUGGCAGAUGAUUGACGCUGAGGUACGAAAGUGCGGGGAGCAAACAGGAUUAGAUACCCUGGUA
rnacentral:rRNA from 1 species